AUCCAGCUGACGAGUCCCGAAUAAGAUGAUUUGCGCGUCCUGGAU
rnacentral:hammerhead_ribozyme from 1 species